GCAAACUGCACAAAAUACAAAAUCUGGUUAAAAAACAAUCACCAAUAUCCCUUGAAGAAUAUAUACUUGAUCCAGAUUCAUGUGCUAAAACUGACAGAGAAGCAAUGCCCUUGGUUUUUCUAGUCAAUGUUUUUGGUUCUCGAACUGAUAUAAUAGUAACAGAAUAUAGAGAACGCAGAAUAAAAAUCUUAUCUUACACUAAAAGCUGUCUUCAUCACUG